GCUCGGCGUCACCGCGGCCACCGGGCAGGCCCAGCACGGUCCCCGCACGGUGCUCGUUGCCUCUCCCACCCCUGCCCAGGUGCGAUGGAGAUGCAGGAGGUGUUCCUGCAGCUCUGGGGGGAGCUGGCCAGGCUGCAGGAGCUGUGCUCGGAGCAGGGGCGGCUCCUCCGGAAGCUGAGGGCCAGGAAGGGACCGGUCCUGGACAUCCCGGUGUCGCUGCCUGUCCAGUGCACGGAGGAUGUGGGGACAGGGGACAGCCAGAGGUCACCUGAGAGCCACCAAAACCACCCAGGAGCUCUGACAUCCUCCACACCCCACCUGGAGGGCUCUGCCUGUCCCAUGGGACAGCCUCGGCCCACCAAGAGGCUCCCCCCGAGCCCUGGGCACAGCACAGGAGCCACAGGAGCUGCAGGUCCAGGCAGCACCGAGGGGGACGAGGGGGAAGCGCUCGCCCGCAGGAGAACCUGGAUCCUCCCGGUGCCCUGGGAAGGAGGGAGAGCUCCCUGCAGCCCUCGGCAGCUGGAGACACCAAAUCCAGGGCCUGGGGGCUCCUUCCCAAAUCUUCUGGAUCUCUACGAAGCCCCUGAAGCGCUUGAGAGGGAAGAGGCUCCCAGGGAUGUGGCUCUGGUGGAGAUCCGAGGGCCUGUGAAGACCUGCUGGACUCCGGGCUGGGCGCUGGAGGAGGGGACGCUGAGCCCCAGCACUGAGGCUGCCCCGGGCUGUGAGCUGUGCCAGGAGAUGCUGCCCUCGGAGGCAGCGGGACACGCGGAAUAUCUGAGCCCCCUUCUGCUCCACCUGGAGUAGGACUCGUCCUCCCAGCGGGAAAUCCACGGAUCUGUACCCUGAGCCACGGGACAGAAUCGGGAUAUUUGCAUGGGACAGCCUCUGGACAUCUCCACGGGACAGACUCUGGACAUUUCCCAUUUCCAUGGGAAGAUUCUGAAAUUUCCAUUCAUGGGAGAUGAAUCCACGGGACAGACUCUGGACAUUUCCCAUCUCCUCAGGACGGACUCUGGACAUUUCCCAUCUCCAUGGGACAGAUGCUGGACAUUUCCCAUCUCCAUGGGAUGGACUCUGGACAUUUCCGAUUUCCACAGGACAGACUCUGGAC
rnacentral:lncRNA from 14 species